rnacentral:rRNA from 1 species
AUACGUAGGGAGCGAGCGUUGUCCGGAAUUACUGGGUGUAAAGGGAGCGUAGGCGGGAGAGCAAGUCAGAUGUGAAAUACAUGGGCUCAACCCAUGGGCUGCAUUUGAAACUGCAUUUCUUGAGUGAAGUAGAGGUAAGCGGAAUUCCUUGUGUAGCGGUGAAAUGCGUAUAUAUCAGGAGGAACACCGGGUGCGAAGGCGGCUUACUGGGCUUUUACUGACGCUGAGGCUCGAAAGCGUGGGGAGCAAACAGGAUUAGAUACCCUGGUAGUCCACGCCGUAAACGAUGAUUGCUAGGUGUGGGGGGACUGACCCCCUCCGUGCCGGAGUAAACACAAUAAGCAAUCCACCUGGGGAGUACGACCGCAAGGUUGAAACUCAAAUGAAUUGACGGGG